GAUGAACGCUGGCGGCGUGCCUAAUACAUGCAAGUCGAGCGAACAGACGAGGAGCUUGCUCCUCUGACGUUAGCGGCGGACGGGUGAGUAACACGUGGAUAACCUACCUAUAAGACUGGGAUAACUUCGGGAAACCGGAGCUAAUACCGGAUAAUAUAUUGAACCGCAUGGUUCAAUAGUGAAAGACGGUUUUGCUGUCACUUAUAGAUGGAUCCGCGCCGCAUUAGCUAGUUGGUAAGGUAACGGCUUACCAAGGCGACGAUGCGUAGCCGACCUGAGAGGGUGAUCGGCCACACUGGAACUGAGACACGGUCCAGACUCCUACGGGAGGAAGCCGUAGGGAAUCUUCCGCAAUGGGCGGAAGCCUGAAGGAGCAAAGCCGCGUGAGUGAUGAAGGUCUUCGGAUCGUAAAACUCUGUUAUUAGGGAAGAACAAAUGUGUAAGUAACUAUGCACGUCUUGACGGUACCUAAUCAGAAAGCCACGGCUAACUACGUG
rnacentral:rRNA from 1 species